rnacentral:rRNA from 1 species
CGUGAAAUUGUUGAAAGGGAAGCGCUUGUGACCAGACUUGGGCGCGGCGGAUCAUCCGGGGUUCUCUCCGGUGCACUUCGCCGCGUCUAGGCCAGCAUCAGUUCGUCGCGGGGGAAAAAGGUUUCGGGAACGUGGCUCCUCCGGGAGUGUUAUAGCCCGUUGCAUAAUACCCUGCGGUGGACUGAGGACCGCGCAUCUGCAAGGAUGCUGGCAUAAUGGUCACCAGCGACCCGUCUUGAAACACGG